rnacentral:rRNA from 1 species
UAACGGCGAGUGAAGCGGCAACAGCUCAAAUUUGAAAUCCGGCCCCCCGGGCCCGAGUUGUAAUUUGCAGAGGAUGCUUCUGGCGAGGCGCCGCCCGAGUUCCCUGGAACGGGACGCCACAGAGGGUGAGAGCCCCGUCUGGCUGGCCGCCGAGCCUCUGUGAAGCUCCUUCGACGAGUCGAGUAGUUUGGGAAUGCUGCUCAAAACGGGAGGUAUAUGUCUUCUAAAGCUAAAUACCGGCCAGAGACCGAUAGCGCACAAGUAGAGUGAUCGAAAGAUGAAAAGCACUUUGAAAAGAGGGUUAAACAGUACGUGAAAUUGUUGAAAGGGAAGCGCUUGCGACCAGACUCGGGCGCGGCGGAUCACCCGGCGUUCUCGCCGGUGCACUCCGCCACGCCCGGGCCAGCAUCAGUUCGCGCCGGGGGACAAAGGCGCCGGGAAUGUGGCUCCCCCGGGAGUGUUAUAGCCCGGCGCGCAAUACCCUGGCGCGGACUGAGGACCGCGCGUUCGCGCAAGGAUGCUGGCGUAAUGGUCGCCAGCGACCCGUCUUGAAACAC